GCCAGGCAUAGUGGCGCAAGCCUGUAAUCCCAGUAGCUUGGGAGGCUGACACAGGAGGAUCGUGAGUUCAAAGGGAAUCUCCGAGGCACUAAGCAACUCAGUGAGACCCUGUCUCUA
rnacentral:sRNA from 1 species